UGCAAAAGAAAAAAGAAUAAUGGAUAAGGAGUUACUAUCUGCAUGGCAAUCAUAACUCUAAUUAAUGUUGCAGGAAUGAUCCUUCCAAGAAGAUUCCCAGCUUUACAGAGCAUAGAGAAAAGCUAGAUGAAAGAAAGAUCUGAAGGCCUCACCUGUAAUUCCUCCUGACAUCUUUCAAGCUUUCUGGUCAUCCCAUCCCCGCCUCCCCCAAAAAAUCAGGAUUCAGACUGUAUGGAAAGAAAAGAAAUUGUUUCCAGUUUCACCCUUCAGAUGAUCCUCUGAGUGAGACGGACUGCAGCUAUUCCAAAGAUCAACAAACGAAAACCGUGGGUGACCAGAGAUUUAAAUUCCAAGGCUGCAUCAGACUAGCCUUCUCCUCAUUGUUUC